rnacentral:rRNA from 1 species
UGGGGAAUUUUGGACAAUGGGCGAAAGCCUGAUCCAGCAAUGCCGCGUGUGUGAAGAAGGCCUUCGGGUUGUAAAGCACUUUUGUCCGGAAAGAAAUGGCUCUGGUUAAUACCUGGGGUCGAUGACGGUACCGGAAGAAUAAGGACCGGCUAACUACGUGCCAGCAGCCGCGGUAAUACGUAGGGUCCAAGCGUUAAUCGGAAUUACUGGGCGUAAAGCGUGCGCAGGCGGUUGUGCAAGACCGAUGUGAAAUCCCCGAGCUUAACUUGGGAAUUGCAUUGGUGACUGCACGGCUAGAGUGUGUCAGAAGGGGGUAGAAUUCCACGUGUAGCAGUGAAAUGCGUAGAGAUGUGGAGGAAUACCGAUGGCGAAGGCAGCCCCCUGGGAUAACACUGACGCUCAUGCACGAAAGCGUGGGGAGCAAACAGG